AUUGAACGCUGGCGGCAGGCCUAACACAUGCAAGUCGAGCGCGCGGCGGACGGGUGAGUAAUGUAUGGGGACUGCCCGAUAGAGGGGGAUAACUAUUGGAAACGGUGGCUAAUAUCGCAUACUGUCUGAUUACCCAUAUGGGAUUAUCUAGUAGGUAAGGGAAUGGCUCACCUAGGCGACGAUCCCUAGCUGGUCUGAGAGGAUGAUCAGCCACACUGGGACUGAGACACGGCCCAGACUCCUACGGAGGCAGCAGUGGGGAAUAUUGCACAAUGGGCGCAAGCCUGAUGCAGCCAUGCCGCGUGUAUGAAGAAGGCCCUAGGGUUGUAAAGUACUUUCAGUCGGGAGGCGUUACCGGCAGAAGAAGCACCGGCUAACUCCGUGCCAGCAGCCGCGGUAAUAC
rnacentral:rRNA from 1 species